rnacentral:rRNA from 1 species
GAUGAACGCUGGCGGCGUGCCUAAUACAUGCAAGUCGAGCGAAUGGAUUGAGAGCUUGCUCUUAUGAAGUUAGCGGCGGACGGGUGAGUAACACGUGGGUAACCUGCCCAUAAGACUGGGAUAACUACGGGAAACCGGGGCUAAUACUGGAUAACAUUUUGAACCGCAUGGUUCGAAAUUUAAAUGCGGCUUAGACUGUCACCUAUUGAUGGACCCGCGUCGCAUUAUCUCGUUGGUGAGGUAACCGCUCACCAAGGCAACGAUGUGUAGCCGACCGGAGAGGGUGAUCGGCCACACUGGGACUGAGACACGGCCCAGACUCAUACGGGAGGCAGCAGUAGGGAAUCUUCCGCAAUGGACGAAAGUCUGACGGAGCAACGCCGCGUGAGUGAUGAAGGCUUUCGGGUCGUAAAACUCUGUUGUUAGGGAAGAACAAGUGCUAGUUGAAUAAGCUGGCACCUUGACGGUACCUAACCAGAAAGCCACGGCUAACUACGUGCCAGCCGCCGCCGUAA